UUGUCUAAUACACAUGGAAAGACUAAAUCACAAGAGGAAAUUUUUCCUGUGACUUCUAGCAACGGUUACCGUGAUGAAAUUUGGGAACCAUAAAAUCAAAGAAAUCUAACCACCUAGCCAAUGCCUGAGACAUCUAUAUUACCAAAUGUUCUCCAAAUCUGCCAGACUCAGUGAACUCCCAGCGUUAUGGUACACUUGAAAGAGUACACAUGACAAGCCAGAAGGAUGAAAAGAACGUGGAAUGGAUAUGUUGAUUCAUACCUUUACAUAAUGGAAAUGAGCUGAGAAGCCUUUACAACAGCAGGAACACUAGCCAGACUUCUGCCAAUCGCUAAUAUGUGACUUUGAGCAAAUUUCAAAGCCAAGAUGUGGAAACAGAAACUGUGCAUUAUAUAAACAAGGCUUGUUACCUCAGACCCAAAGAGAGCCUUGGUCAAACAAUAGUCAAUCAAUAGUCUUCUCAGCAGGUGGAUCAUAGAUUCAAGGCGACAGAUGCUGAUGCAAAGAAUGAGGACACACAGCUGUUAUGAGACACACAUGCGUACUGCUGGUCAAAGCCAACCAUCUCCCGCUUUUUCAACUGUGGAGCUGAUGCAAUCCCAUGGGGGAACCUGUCUGGUAUCCAGAGGAAAAUAGCAUGGAAUGAGAGUCUUAGGAGAAUGUAGAGAAGGAAUUUACACUGUGAGAUAAAAGAGACCUUACAGCGGGUAAGGAAGAACCAGUAUUUGGUUCUCAAAGUGAACAGUACCAGAGAGAAACACACAUUUAGACUUGGUCGUGAAGAGAGCACAAUCUUACUAGCCAGAUACCAGUUCCUGGGGCUUUGAUGAUUUGCCAAAACAAGACAGAUAUUCAGAAAGGUAAGGAGGCUCAAGUCACAGCCCUUUAAAUAUUACUAUGUGGGUGUUUAUGGGUGUGUCUUCUGGUGUAUAUGCAUGUGUGUGUAUAUUUCUCUCCCAGUGUUGAUAGCAUAUUUCCACAAAUAUUGUUAUGCUGGGGAGAUUAAAGCAACUGCAGGAAUCCGCUGUACUUCU
rnacentral:lncRNA from 1 species